rnacentral:rRNA from 1 species
AUACGGAGGGUGCAAGCGUUAUUCGGAAUCACUGGGCGUAAAGCGCACGUAGGUGGAUAUUUAAGUCGGAUGUGAAAGCCCUGGGCUUAACCUAGGAAUUGCAUUCGAUACUGGGUAUCUAGAGUAUGGUAGAGGGAAGUGGAAUUUCCGGUGUAGCGGUGAAAUGCGUAGAUAUCGGAAAGAACACCAGUGGCGAAGGCGGCUUCCUGGACCAAUACUGACACUGAGGUGCGAAAGCGUGGGGAGCAAACAGGAUUAGAGACCCGAGUAGUCC